UACCAGCACCCCGAGUGGUCGGGACGAUUAUUGGGCCUAAAGCAUCCGUAGCCGGUUCUGCAAGUCCCCCGUUAAAUCCAGCUGCUCAACAGAUGGGCCGCGGAGGAUACUACAGAGCUAGGAGGCAGGAGAGGCAAGCGGUACUCAGUGGGUAGGGGUAAAAUCCGUUGAUCCAUUGAAGACCACCAGUGGCGAAGGCGGCUUGCCAGAACGCACUCGACGGUGAGGGAUGAAAGCUGGGGGAGCAAACCGG
rnacentral:rRNA from 1 species